UAGCUAAUGUUUACUGAGUUACCUAUUUU
rnacentral:piRNA from 1 species